GAUGAACGCUGGCGGCGUGCCUAAUACAUGCAAGUCGAGCGAAGCGGGGACGGGUGAGUAACACGUGGAUAACCUCCUAUAAGACUGGGAUAACUUCGGGAAACCGGAGCUAAACCGGAAACUAAAAGUUGAUCCCACGCUGCAUUAGCUAGUGGGAAAGGGAACGGCUUACAAAGGCAACGAUGCAUAGCCGCCCGGAGAGGGUGAUCGGCCAAACUGGAACUGAGACACGGUCCAGACUCCUACGGGAGGCAGCAGUAGGGAAUCUUCCGCAAUGGGCGAAAGCCUGACGGAGCAACGCCGCGUGAGUGAUGAAGGUCUUCGGAUCGUAAAACUCUGUUAUUAGGGAAGCGGUACCUAAUCAGAAAGCCACGGCUAACUACGUGCCAGCAGCCGCGGUAAUUC
rnacentral:rRNA from 1 species